rnacentral:rRNA from 2 species
UGGGGGAUAUUGCACAAUGGGCGAAAGCCUGAUGCAGCGACGCCGCGUGGGGGAUGAAGGCUUUCGGGAUGUAAACCUCUUUCGCUAUCGAACAAGGCCCGCUUAGGGUGGGUUGAGGGUAGGUGGAGAAGAAGCGCCGGCUAACUACGUGCCAGCAGCCGCGGUAAUACGUAGGGCGCGAGCGUUGUCCGGAAUUAUUGGGCGUAAAGGGCUUGUAGGCGGCUUGUUGCGCCUGCUGUGAAAACGCGGGGCUUAACUUCGCGCGUGCAGUGGGUACGGGCAGGCUUGAGUGUGGUAGGGGUGACUGGAAUUCCAGGUGUAGCGGUGGAAUGCGCAGAUAUCUGGAGGAACACCGAUGGCGAAGGCAGGUCACUGGGCCAUUACUGACGCUGAGGAGCGAAAGCAUGGGUAGCGAACAGG